AUUGAACGCUGGCGGCAGGCCUAACACAUGCAAGUCGAGCGGAUGAGGGAAGCUUGCUUCCUGAUUUAGCGGCGGACGGGUGAGUAAUGCCUAGGAAUCUGCCUGGUAGUGGGGGAUAACGUUCCGAAAGGAACGCUAAUACCGCAUACGUCCUACGGGAGAAAGCAGGGGACCUUCGGGCCUUGCGCUAUCAGAUGAGCCUAGGUCGGAUUAGCUAGUUGGUGAGGUAAUGGCUCACCAAGGCGACGAUCCGUAACUGGUCUGAGAGGAUGAUCAGUCACACUGGAACUGAGACACGGUCCAGACUCCUACGGGAGGCAGCAGUGGGGAAUAUUGGACAAUGGGCGAAAGCCUGAUCCAGCCAUGCCGCGUGUGUGAAGAAGGUCUUCGGAUUGUAAAGCACUUUAAGUUGGGAGGAAGGGCAUUAACCUAAUACGUUAGUGUUUUGACGUUACCAACAGAAUAAGCACCGGCUAACUUCGUGCCAGCCGCCGCAGUAAAAC
rnacentral:rRNA from 1 species